rnacentral:RNase_P_RNA from 1 species
UACAAGGGAAGCUUACAUUUCGGGGAGAGGUGGUUUCAUUUUUACUAUCUUUUACCCUGGGGAAGGUCUGAGGAUGUCCGAUUGCCCAAUAGGAUUGGGGUGGGCGAAAGCUUACACUACUUAAUAGAAAUUCAUCCGAGUAAAUUAUUUUUAUAAUAGUUUCAUGGAUUUGGGAUGGGUAGAGGACCAUUAAGCAUCAGUGGGAUAUGUAAGGGCCUUUAUAAGGUUAACUCAAUUCAGACUACUCUCCUUUGUA